UGCUGCCUCCCUGGCACUCAGGGCACCAGGAUGCUUGUUUGCAGAGCUGGCGGCCAGCAGCUUGGAGCAGCUGGUUGUAAUUAUGCACUGCAGCUUCAGAGGAAGUUCCUGGCUGGGAGAGCGUGUGCUGGGCCUGGCUGCACAUUGGCUGCUGGGCUUCAGGGAACAAAGAAGCUGGAAACCAGUUGCAGCAGAGAACAAGAUGGGGCGAAGGCAGGCAAAAAGAAAGGAUAGGGUCUCUCACUGGACCAGGAGCUCCAUGAUGGGCUAUUGAGCAAACCCACAAAUCCUCUCAUCUCUAACUCCCCAGUGUUGGAUUACUGUCGUGCUAUCAGGCUCAGCUUCCUAUAGGAGUGCUGGUGACAGAGCUCAUGCCUUCCUGUUCCUGGAGCAGGCGCCUUACAGACCGGGCCAUCUCUCCAGCAUCCCCGAUCACUUUCAUUUUGAUCCCUCCUGAUGUGGAGAGAAUAAACCUCCGUAUCAGAGGGAACGGGGUUUGAGUCUAUUAGCGUGUCCCUCUGACAAGUCGCUCACUGCUCUUCCUCGCUGUAAGAAGUGGCUAGUGAUACACACGCCUACAGCGGUGGGUGCUUAGACUAAGUCAUAGAGUCCAGCACUCUUUAGUAUUAGGUUCCAUACUUGGGAAAUAGCAGUCGGAACAUUGUAAUUCUGUCCCCAUGGGGCUGCAAUUAAUUUAUAAUUACAAAUACAGAGACUGUAAUUAAUUAAGCUAAACCGUCGAUUAGGAUGUACACCUACAAUAGCACCUUGAUUUUACAUGUGGCUGUCAACAGAGCAAGCUCUCCUCCCUGUUUUGUUUUUUUUUUAAAGAAUUUAUUCAUUUAUAUGUAAGUACAAUGUAGCUGUCUUCAGACACUUUUUUCUUCUCUCUCAGUCCCCGCUCACUCCCGCCCUGCUCUCUCUGAGCCAAAGAUUUAUUUAUUUAUUAUACAUAAGUACACUGUAGCUGUCUUCAGACACACCAGAAGAGGGCAUCAGAUUUCAUUACGGAUGGCUGUGAGCCACCAUGUUGCUGGGAUUUGAACUCAGGACCUUCAGAAGAGGAGUCAGUGCUCUUAACUGCUGAGCCAUCUCUCCAGCCCUCUCCUCCCUGUUUAUUCACAGAAAAUGGCCACACAAAAUCUGAUGUAUGGAAAAAUAGACAAUAGGAGUCCUAUCCAAGCUCCAGGCUUCCAUAUGACUCAAGAUCAUAUGGGUCCCAUCCCCACCUGCCACCAGCUCGACUCAGAUUGGAAGGUCAGGGAGCACUGCCUGAUGCCUACCACAGGUCAAUCUUCUGAUCACGACAUGUGGGCACUCAAUCCAUGGCCCCCAUAGGGUCUUGAGGGUGAUAUCCUUUGGUGGGUUUACUGAUUUAAUUUCUAGUUCCUCCUGGAAACAUCUGCAGGGACACUACAGAAAUAAUGUGCUACUAGCUACUUGGGUGUCUACCGGAGAUGCGCCUCAGCCCUAACUUGGAAGUUCGAGAGGAUGGCAUUAAGUUCAAGUCCAUGAGCAGCACAUGGCCACCACUGAACCAAUCGCUAUGAUGCAAUGGGCAUCAUGUAGACUUGAAUCAGAAGUCUGCCUAUCCCAGGAUCCAGGGGCAGAGGCAUUCCUACAUAAACUAUGUGGAAAGAACAUUAUGUUGGAGAUUUGCCAAUGUUACUACAGAAGAGAGAACAUUUUAAGAGUCUGUACAGUGAAUCCAGAUUGUCUACCUAGUGCAUUGGUUAGGUCCAGUCAGAUAGCAGAACCCACCUCAACUGUGUUACCAUAACAAAUAGAACACGCGAUGGAUUUCAUACUUAGACAGUGCAAGAGUGGUAGCUAAUUACCUCUGGACUGUUGGUGAAAGUGUUCCAGAAGAGAUUAGCACGCACAUCAUAAGACUCAGUAAUGAAGACAGCACUCACCGGUUCUGGGAGACGUCACCCAAUCUCCUGAAAAGGCGUAGAACAGAAGGUAAAGGAAUAAGGAGCCUCUCUCUGCUGGAGCUGGGACCCCAUUGCUCCCUGCCCUCCCUGACUACUGGGACUCCAUCUCUCCUGGCCUGCCAGGACCCCUUCCUUCCCUACCUGGCCUGCUGGGACUCCACCCCUCCUUGCCCUCAGACAUUGGUGCUUCUGGUUUGGGGAUCUUUAGACUUGUAAUGAGUGACAUUGCAAACCCUCCUGGUGUCCAGGUGGUAGACCGCAGUUCAUGGAACAUUCUAGCCUCUACAACUGCAGGAGUAAAUCCCUCAUGUGAAAUAACUCUCUCCGUGCUUCUACCCACACAUAUAGCUAGGUAUAAACGGCACAGAUAUCAUUUUUAGAUAUAGAUUAUACAUGUGGAUGAUACAGAUCAUAUAUGAGCUUGAAACCAUGCGUCCAGUCCCCAGAACCCAUAUCGUAGAAAGAGAGAACUGAUUCUGACAACGUGUCUUCUGACCAUGGACCAUGGCCAUGCACGUGUUAAAUCACAUACACACGCAAAAUGAAUGUGAACCA
rnacentral:lncRNA from 1 species